UACAGAGGUCCCAAGCGUUGUUCGGAUUCACUGGGCGUAAAGGGUGCGUAGGCGGUCGGGUAAGUCUGACGUGAAAUCUUCAAGCUCAACUUGGAAACUGCGUCGGAUACUAUUCGGCUAGAGGAAUGGAGGGGAGACUGGAAUACUUGGUGUAGCAGUGAAAUGCGUAGAUAUCAAGUGGAACACCAGUGGCGAAGGCGAGUCUCUGGACAUUUCCUGACACUGAGGCACGAAAGCUAGGGGAGCAAACAGG
rnacentral:rRNA from 1 species